AUGGCGGAUUCAUAACGUCAUUACCACUGACCAGUAUAUUAAUAUACAUUUCGAAAUUAAAGCAAACUAGAUUGUACUGCUCUAUUUGGUAGACCCUUCGAUGUAGCCAGAAUCUGAUUUUAUUAUCAAAUAUCUUUUAUUUGACUUGCUGUAACACAUGAAUUUACAUACAUUACCCUGUCUCCCGCCAAUUGCAUACGCAAUAAUCUCUCAACUUGCAGACUGCUUUCUCUUCACUCACAAACACGUGGUGCACAGAGUUCAGAAGAGAAAACAUCAACGAAAAAUCAUUUGACACUUAGUCCAAAUAUGACAAUGUCACAGUAAUAAAGUUCAAUUCUUGUUUUAAA